UCUCAGGCUCUGACCCUCUAGAGGGAAGCGCUUUCUGUCAUCUGAGAGAGAAGAAAGUGCAUCCUUUUAGAGGAUCACGGUUUGAGA
rnacentral:pre_miRNA from 2 species